ensembl:snRNA U6 U6 spliceosomal RNA
CUGCUUGCUUCGGCAGCACAUAUACUAAAAUUGGAACGAUAUGGACAAGAUUAGCAUGGCCCCUGCAUCAGAAAGUGGGAAAAAGGGACAGAGUCAUUU